GAGGCUAUGGCUCAGUGGUAGAGUGUUCGCCUGGUGUGUGUACGUCACUGAGUUCAAUUCUCAGCACCGCA
rnacentral:tRNA from 1 species